rnacentral:rRNA from 1 species
UACAGAGGGUGCGAGCGUUAAUCGGAAUUACUGGGCGUAAAGGGUGCGUAGGUGGUUAUUUAAGUCAGAUGUGAAAUCCCUAGGCUCAACCUAGGAAUUGCGUUUGAGACUGGAUAGCUAGAGUGCAGUAGAGGGAAGUGGAAUUUCCGGUGUAGCGGUGAAAUGCGCAGAUAUCAGGAGGAACACCGGUGGCGAAGGCGGAUCUCUGGGCCAUUACUGACGCUGAGGAGCGAAAGCGUGGGGAGCGAACAGG